AAUCAACGCUGGCGGCGUGCCUAACACAUGCAAGUCGAACGCGAAAGCCCUUUCGGGGGUAAGUAGAGUGGCGUCCGGGUGAGUAACACGUAGGUAAUCUACCUUCGGGUGGGGAAUAACUCGCCGAAAGGCGAGCUAAUACCGCAUAAUGCAGCGGCACCUAAUGGUGAUUAGUUGUUAAAGCGGGGGAUCGUAAGACCUCGCGCCUGAAGAGGAGCCUGCGGCAGAUUAGCUAGNGGUGAGGUAAUGGCUCACCAAGGCUUCGAUCUGUAGCUGGUCUGAGAGGACGGCCAGCCACACUGGCACUGACACACGGGCCAGACUCCUACGGGAGGCAGCAGUGGGGAAUUUUGGGCAAUGGGCGCAAGCCUGACCCAGCAACGCCGCGUGAGGGAGGAAAUCCUUCGGGAUGUAAACCUCACAAGCAA
rnacentral:rRNA from 1 species